rnacentral:rRNA from 1 species
GACGAACGCUGGCGGCGCGCCUAACACAUGCAAGUCGAACGAGCGAGAGAGAGCUUGCUUUCUCGAGCGAGUGGCGAACGGGUGAGUAACGCGUGAGGAACCUGCCUCAAAGAGGGGGACAACAGUUGGAAACGACUGCUAAUACCGCAUAAGCCCACGGGUCGGCAUCGACCAGAGGGAAAAGGAGCAAUCCGCUUUGAGAUGGCCUCGCGUCCGAUUAGCUAGUUGGUGAGGUAACGGCCCACCAAGGCGACGAUCGGUAGCCGGACUGAGAGGUUGAACGGCCACAUUGGGACUGAGACACGGCCCAGACUCCUACGGGAGGCAGCAGUGGGGAAUAUUGCACAAUGGGGGAAACCCUGAUGCAGCGACGCCGCGUGGAGGAAGAAGGUCUUCGGAUUGUAAACUCCUGUUGUUGGGGAAGAUAAUGACGGUACC